AGUUUUGGCUGUUUGAUUUCCUAGUGACUCUGAGUGCUCAGCCUUUUCUGGAACAUUUGCACAGCAGCUCUGCUGAUGGCUCAGCUGUGGAAGCAGCUGUGGUAGGCCAGGCCUUUCUCCACACAGAGCCCGUCCUGCAGCUGCUGCUGCCAGCACCUGGCUGCUCACAACAAAAGGUUUGGGGAGAAAAUGAAGGAGAGCUCAUUACCACACUGCAGAAACCCUGAUCUGCUGUCCUCACACCAAGAUCAUAUGGAUGCUGAACCAAGAGGAUGACAUGUCCCAUCUUGCAGCUCGAUGUGUCCACUACCAGGUAAGAAAGAAGAAAUGUGGUGAAUGCAGCACUCUGCUCUCAGAAUGAAUCAGGAGAGGUGCUUCUGCCAUUACGAUUCACUGGAAAGAUUGUGCUCAGUAGCCUUCACCUACAUUUCUCCAGUUGUGGUGUGCAUAUAAUAUAUGAACCCUGUAUUCAGUCAAGGUCACGUGAAGGUACUCCCCUGCCCAAUAGACUUCAUAUAAAAGUGAAAUUUGAAAUAAUACACAUAGUCCAAAGUGUCAAUAGCCAGUAAAUUUUAACGAUUUUUUUUUUUUUUUGUAUACUUGGGAGCCUACAAAUGUGAAAGUUGCCUACAAUGAUAUGCUAGCUAUAGCAAUAAGCAUAUAAGUAUGCAUAGCUAAAUCUACUCAAAGCAUUUGGACAUCUAGUUUCCAUUCAAAACUUAUUCCAUAGAGGUUCCAAUGUAAUUCUGUGGGAUUGUGUAUAAAUGUGUAGUUCCCCUUUAUUUCAGUGGUGCCUGUGUCUUUUCCAAAACCAACUAGGUGUCUUUGAAUAAUAGAACCAGUAUUUCAUAUGCUCUUUGUUGUUAAAAAAAAAAAUAAUAAUAAUAAAUCUAU
ensembl:lncRNA